UACGUAGGGGGCAAGCGUUGUCCGGAAUUAUUGGGCGUAAAGAGCGUGUAGGCGGUCCGGUAAGUCAGCUGUGAAAGUCAAGGGCUCAACCCUUGAAAGGCGGUUGAUACUGUCGGGCUAGAGUCCGGAAGAGGCGAGUGGAAUUCCCGGUGUAGCGGUGAAAUGCGCAGAUAUCGGGAGGAACACCAAUGGCGAAGGCAGCUCGCUGGGACGGUACUGACGCUGAGACGCGAAAGCGUGGGGAGCAAACAGG
rnacentral:rRNA from 1 species